GUAGAGGAAGGGGUGUCUCCUGGACACCUCGUAGAUGUAUCUGUGAAGUGAAGAAGCCACAGAGUUUACAAGAUUGCAGAUUCGUCAUUAAAAUAAGAAAAGGAUAAACAAUGACAAGAAAGAAGAAGCGGUAUCAAAAGUUGUUGGUGAUCAAUAGUCCAACUCAUGGUGCUAUCCACAGUUGUUCAUGUAACACCGUAGAUGCUCAAUACCUUACCCUUGUUUAUCCAUCUAAAUUAUAACUCUCUUUCAAUUUUUUUAUUUACAGGCAGUUUGGUGAACAAGAUCCAUCAAUAUUUGGCUCUGAAUAGAGUUGAUUUGUGGAAAAUUAAUAUGUUCUUGGACAAGGUACAAAUUGAGAGGUUAAAGCUGUGUCUCCUGAGACUACUGGCAGAGAUUCAGGGUCAGUUGCGAGUCCUGGCUACAUCUAGCACGUGUGCGUAGGCAUUGCAUUCAGACUUGCUCUCCUGAAUGCCUUGAGCAGGCCUUUAUAGCUAUUACCCCAAGUUCCUACCUCACAUCUCAUAGUGCACUGUGAACUGCUUGUGUUGUUCCCAUCCCACGGUUGUCCUUACUUGUUUAGGACCGUCUCCCUGUUUUCUUCAUAUGCUUUGCAACUCGUGACCAUGUCUGGAACUUGCAAGGGUGGAAUGGAUGCUGGAGCAGCCCUUUUGCGUGUAAGUAGACACUUGUGCCUUUCCUCUCCGCUGCGGCUGCAGCAGUCUGCAAGUCCAUACUUCUCAUGGGUUGCCCUCUCAUGACAGAUUUCUUCCAGAAAGGUGGAUAGCUGUAAGAAAGCUCGUACUUUUAGUGAAGGACCAUCAACUGAUCUUUAAAUUUCUGUAAAACAUGUAAAGAGUUUUCUACUACCCAAAAUCAGAGAGAAAAAAAAAGAUUUCCAUGUAAUUCCAGUACAUUCAGUGUUAAUCUGGUAACACAGCUUUCUUGCUUCCCUUUUGGAAACUAGAAUUUUAACUUCUAAACUUGAGUAGUAAGCAUGAGUAUUAGACAAAUGUGUUUUAUUUUAAAUAGAAAAGGUCAUGAAAUACUUUGUUUCUCUCCCUCAAUUUUAUUUUAUUUUUUCCUUUUAUGUUUCCAGCACUUUAGCCCCAGGAUAUAUAAGUUUUCUCUUUUUAUAUAAACCAUGUUUGAGAAAUAGAUAUUCAUCCCAGGUGGCUUUCUUAUGACAAAACAUUGACCCAGACUUGAACAUUAUUUUUGAUUAAAAAUAAAAACAAUUUCAAGAUGGGAUAAAAUGGAAAAACGUUUCAUUGAUCACAGUUACACAUUUAGUUAAAAUGAUUUAAAAUGUACGUUUCCUUCUUUGAUGCCUAAUUUUAUCAGUAUCAGAGAAGGAUACCACUAUUUGAAAGAAAGCCCCUGAUACAUGUGUUCCAUUGAUGUCAGAAAACUAAAACCUUAAUUAAGAAUUCUAACUCGCAAUCAUUUAAAAAAAAACCUGUAACUUUACAAUGAAAAAUCACCAAUUUGUAGCCUUACUUUGCCCCUCUAAUUGGACAUAAAGCUGCAAUUGCGAAAAUAUUCUGCAUAGUUUAUGUAUACAGUUUUAAAAGAUUAUCAGAAAAAGUCAUAAACAUAGAUUGUUAAUUUAGAAAUUUCAGAGUUGGAAAGCACUUUAUAUCUUAAAAGGUGUGUCUUAUAGAAUGUCCCAGACACAUUUCAACCAUGUGGAUUCUCUAAACAUUCUGUUCCAUAAGUGGGUAUCUUCAGUCAAUAUAAGGUUCAUUUCUAUAUUGAGAUAAAAUAAACAGCAACUACUAUUUAUUGAGCAUCUAUACUGGGACAGCUUCAUACAAACAAAAAGUAUUCAUUGUUUAUCUGAAAUUCAGAUUUGUUAGGUAUAGUGAUCCAUGCCUGUAAUUAAAGCUACUUGGGUGGCAGAGGCAGGAGGAUGAUACAUUUGAAGCUCUGUCUCAAAAAUAGAAGAUUUUAAAAAGGGCUGUGGCCUGGGUGACAGAAUGUUUGCCUAGCAUGUAUGAAGACCUUUCAAUUCACAGCACUGCUAAAAGAAAAGAAAAGAAAUUUUAGAUUUAGCGGAGCAUUAGUUUUGAUGUUAAUUCCACUUUGCUUAAUCUGGCAAGCUUAAUUGUCACUGUGUGCCUCGUUUGCUGUAGUAGAGUGAAGCUACUGGGGACAUUAGCCCUGGGACCAGGUGGCCUGGUUUACACCCCAGUUGUGUCAUUUUGUUAUUCUCUUAAAGAAGGUUACCACUCUGUCAGUUUCCUCAACUGGAAUAUUAGCAUCAAACUCCUAAGAUUAUUAUAAAGAUUUAAUAAGUUAAUAUUUGUAAACAAAGCUGAAUUUUGCUAGUGAAAACUAGCCAAAGUCUCUUGACACACUGGACAACCAUUCCGAAUCCAUAGUGCUAUCUCCCUACCAUAAAAUAACUUGAUUAUCAAUGCAUUUGUCACAGUCCCUAGCAGAAUGCCAACCAUACUGUGCUCCUAUAAUUAUACCAGUGUCCACUGCGAGUCUGAAUUGGAUUUAAGAUUAGCCAUGAUGUCACAGAAAAAGAACACUGAAACUUAAAGUAGUAACACGCCCAUCACAGUCAGAUAAUCUCAUUCCAAAAACUUGGGUCUUAGUCACUGUCUGAUGAUAAUAGCCACUCAUUGUUUUCAUCUGCAUUGUCUAGUAAUUCCAAAUUAUUUAGAUGCUGCUAUCCUACAACAGCUUUUUAAAUACUCAAAUACCUGCCUUUUCUGGGUCUUGUCUUCCAUGCACUAAAUUUUGGUCAAGUAUCAUUUUACCUUUUAUUCGCUCACCUGAUUUUCUAAACAUUCUGCAAGUUGUUCACUGCCAGUGGGUUUCUUGAUUACAGUCAAUACAUCUGUCACCAUUUUUCUCACUUCCUCAUAAGUGGCGUCUUGGACAAAUUGGGAGAACAAUAUGGUAGCUCUAAAAUAAAAACAUGAAUUCUUAAGGGACAGAUUCAUAUCAAGCUUAUCUUUCUGAAGUAUAGUUCUGCCUGUUUCAUUUUCUGUUUAUGUUCUGACCUGUGCUAAAAGUUAGAUUCUAGCCAUCCAGAAAAAAAUGUUAGUCCUUUUUGUGGUCAUCUUCCCCUAUAAAUAUACAUGUAGCUAUUAAAAGUAAAAAUAAGUUAAUUUUCCAAAAGAAUUAUUUCUCUUUUUCAAUUACCCAUUCUUACAAUGUGCUUAUAAUUAUACUUAUCACAGUUUUAUUUUUUAAAUUUAAUCAAAGUCUUGGUCAUUAAACCUCUGCCUCUGUCUAAUUCCCAGUAGUAUGCAGUUCUGCUCUGGGACUAUGGUAUUCAUGCAUGACUUAAAGCAGUGUUUGCACGGGUUUCUCUAUGCAAUCAGGAGCAGUAAUACAUGCCUUUAGGUUUCCUGUUAGAAACCUCAGAAAUGUGGAAUGGAACAACAGCACUCAAGAGCACAAUUUGCUUUCCAAUAAAAAACAAAACAAUAUUUUACCUUCUGUAGUUUGCUAUUAAGAUUUAAAUAGUAUGUAGAAUAAAAAGGACUGUAUUAUAAUUCUAUUGGUAUUGAUGAUAAAACUCCUAAAUUUAUAAAUAGUUGUCGCUGAUAAAAUCUUAGUUUACUACGUGGAAUGCCAAGUAAUCUAGAGGUUAAUAUCAAGGAGCCAAAGAAACUUCAGCUUCUUCAUUAACAAUUUGAUAUUAGAUAUUUUUAAAUUGUCUUAUUUGCCUUUGUCAUUUAGAAACUCAGAACUAGCCAAUCUCAUUUAAUUACUUAACUAAAAUUAUCUUGCUUUGCAUACAAAAAGUGCAUUGAUCCCUGAAAAACUUACACAUUAGCCAGAUUCAUCUCCGAAGAGCACUGGGAGGAAUCCAACAUGGAGGCUGGAAACAAAACAAACUUAUGAAAGCCCUGUUCGCAACUGCAAGGAUGUUUCUACUCAAGUUAGAACUGUAGACUGCAGAACUGGGAAGACAGUAGGGAUAACCCACCCGAACAUCUUAAUUGUAUACUUGAGAAAAUUAAAUAAUAAAAUUAUAAGCAUUAUUUACAGUAGAACUAAUGCUGAAUUCUAUACUUUAUGGUUUUCAGUUGUUUUGUUUCCUGCUGUAUUUUAAUGUUCUGAUAGGCUUGGAAAUAAAGUGGUUAAAAAUG